ACUUGACACCCACUCAAAGAUGAGAUUUGAAAGUACCUUUCCUGGGUCCCAUGUAUGAUCCAUUUGAACAUCUUUAAGUAUGGUCCUGAGAAAUGAUGAUAGUCCGUCGGAAGGGGGCGAUUAUUGGGGACCCAUGUUAAGAGAGAACCAUUUCUCUUGCACGUAAAAGACACCAUUGAAGAUUUCGAGCAGGCUGAUGCCACUACAAGGCAGCACUCCCACC
rnacentral:lncRNA from 1 species